rnacentral:rRNA from 1 species
UACAGAGGGUGCAAACGUUGCUCGGAAUUACUGGGCGUAAAGCGCGUGUAGGCGGUCGGCUAAGUCGACUGUGAAAGCCCAUGGCUCAACCAUGGAAGUGCAGUUGAUACUUGCUGACUGGAGUCCUGGAGAGGGUGGUGGAAUUCCCAGUGUAGAGGUGAAAUUCGUAGAUAUUGGGAGGAACACCGGUGGCGAAGGCGGCCACCUGGACAGGUACUGACGCUGAGACGCGAAAGCGUGGGGAGCAAACAGG